rnacentral:rRNA from 1 species
AACGAACGCUGGCGGCAUGCCUAACACAUGCAAGUCGAACGAGACCUUCGGGUCUAGUGGCGCACGGGUGCGUAACGCGUGGGAACCUGCCCUUAGGUUCGGAAUAACUCCCCGAAAGGGGUGCUAAUACCGGAUAAUGUCUUCGGACCAAAGAUUUAUCGCCUUUGGAUGGGCCCGCGUUGGAUUAGCUAGUUGGUAGGGUAAAAGCCUACCAAGGCGACGAUCCAUAGCUGGUCUGAGAGGACGAUCAGCCACACUGGGACUGAGACACGGCCCAGACUCCUACGGGAGACAGCAGUGGGGAAUAUUGGACAAUGGGCGAAAGCCUGAUCCAGCAAUGCCGCGUGAGUGAUGAAGGCCUUAGGGUUGUAAAGCUCUUUUACCCGGGAUGAUAAUGACAGUACCGGGAGAAUAAGCUCCGGCUAACUCCGUG